AUGUUAGGACAACCAAUUAACUUUCUUAGUUGGAAUGUAAGGGGAUUAAACUUCCCAAACCGACGGGCCACUAUUCACGAGACUAUCGCUGCAACUUCGUGUCAUUUGGCUUGCUUACAGCAGACCAAACUUGAGGUGUUGGACCAGUUUACGGCUUCCUUCCUGGGAGGGUCCAGGCUCAAAAGCUUUGCCCACCGGCCGGCACUGGGCACUAGGGGCGGCAUCCUGCUGCUUUGGGAUGACGACGUUGUAGUUGUGUCUGAUAUUGUGCUCUUGGUGCAUUGCCUAUCAGCCACAGUCCUCAUCCGCGAAUCUGGGGUCUCCUUCAAGAUCAAGGAGGUCUAUGUCCCUACUGCCUCUUCUUGCAAAAACGCCUUCUUCGCGGAGCUCCUGACUCAAAAGCCACCUCCAGGGACCAAAUGGCUCGCUCAGGGUGACUUCAACCAAAUACAACGCGCGCGCGACAAGAAUAAGCGGAACAUCAACCAUGGUCGUAUCAACCGGUUCCGUAACACCCUCCAUGCAUGCGAACUCAGCAAGAUACACCUGCAAAAUUGUCGUUUCACUUGGAGCAACGAGCCAGACAACCCCAUCCUUUGCAAGCUCAAUUCUUUUUUCUGCAAUGCGGAUUGGGAUCUUGCCUUCGGCACCCAUGUGCUACAUGCUCUCUCCACUUCGCUUUCGGACCACUGCCCUCUCCUUCUCGCGGAUGAUAGUGGACCAAGGAGACCGCGUUGCUUCAAGUUUGAGAAUUUUUGGACGUCCAUGCUGGGCUUCCAGGAGGUGGUGGACAAGGCUUGGAGCGAGGUGUGCCCUCAUGUGGAGCCGUACCUGCGACUCUUCCACAAGAUGAAAAAAUUUAGUGUCAGGCUAGCGGAGUGGAGUCGAAAACUUUUCUCGAAGGUGAAGCUUCACUUGCAUGCGGUCCUCUUGGUGAUACCCCGCCUUGACGUUGCCCAAGAAGACCGGGAGCUCUCGCCUGAGGAGAAAGACUUGAGGGCAAAGCUAAAGAGAAGAGUGGUCAGUCUUGCAGUCCUUGAGCGGGCGAGGAGAAAGAAAUGCUCUAGGAUCUCAAACUUAAAGGAGGGAGAUGCCAACACCAAGUUUUUCCAUCGAAUGGUGAAUGCACGCUCUCGGUGUCAAAACCGGCGGAUCUCGGGUAGGGGGUCUCGAACUGUGCGUCUAGGCCGGAUGGUAAUAGGAGGCAAGGGACACGAAGUUUUACCCAGGUUCGGGCCCUCUUGA
rnacentral:rRNA from 1 species